GGAAUGAGUCUAUGUACCAUGAUGAGGUGGAACGGCUGUCUGAGUGGUGUUUGAAAAAAGAAUCUGGUCCUAAACAUAUCAAUGUAUAUCAUAUCAUAUGCAUAUCAAUGCUUUGAGCUGAUUAUGGACCAUAGGAGGAAGAAGACUGACAUUCAGCCCCUUUUUAUCAAUGGGGAAUGUGUGGAAACCUCCACUCUCACCAAGAAGGCACAGCAGAGAUUACACUUCCUGAGAAGGGCCAUCUUACACAGAAGCUGGUUGUGUCCUUCUACCAAUGCAACAUAGAGACCAUUCUAUCCUACUGCAUCUGUGUAUGGUCUGUCAGCUGCACCUUAGAGAGCAUUCUAUCUACUGCAUCUGUGUAUGGUCUGUCAGCUGCACCUUAGAGAGCAUUCUAUCUAGUGCAUCUGUGUAUGGUCUGUCAGCUGCACCAUAGAGAGCAUUCUAUCCUACUGCAUCUGUGUAUGGUCUGUCAGCUGCACCUUAGAGAGCAUUCUAUCUACUGCAUCUGUGUAUGGUCUGUCAGCUGCACCAUAGAGAGCAUUCUAUCCUACUGCAUCUGUGUAUGGUCUGUCAGCUGCACCUUAGAGAGCAUUCUAUCUACUGCAUCUGUGCAUGGUCUGUCAGCUGCACCAUAGAGAGCAUUCUAUCUACUGCAUCUGUGUAUGGUCUGUCAGCUGCACCAUAGAGAGCAUUCUAUCCUACUGCAUCUGUGUAUGGUCUGUCAGCUGCACCUUAGAGAGCAUUCUAUCUACUGCAUCUGUGUAUGGUCUGUCAGCUGCACCAUAGAGAGCAUUCUAUCUACUGCAUCUGUGUAUGGUCUGUCAGCUGCACCUUAGAGAGCAUUCUAUCUACUGCAUCUGUGCAUGGUCUGUCAGCUGCACCAUAGAGACCAUUCUAUCCUACUGCAUCUGUGUAUGGUCUGUCAGCUGCACCAUAGAGAGCAUUCUCUCUACUGCAUCUGUGUAUGGUUUGCAAGCUGCACAGCUGCUGAACGGAAGGUGCUUCAAGGGGUCAUCAAAACAGCCAAGAUACUCACUGGCAGUCCACUCCCCUCCCUGGAUGAACUGUAUAGGUCCCGUAGCCUUAAAGAAGCACAAAACAUCCUAAAAGGGCCAUUCCAUCCAGGUCACUCUUUUUGAACUGCUGCUCUCAUGCAGACGUGGUAGAGUGAUAAAAACAAGGACCGAUAGACUAAAGAACAGUUUCCAUCCCAAAGCCAUAAUAGCACUUAACAUGGCAAGAACAUGAACUGUGUGCAACAUGAAUUUUGCGUUUUUUUUUGCACUGUAAAUUGGGCAUUCAAAUUUCGUUGUAUCUACAAUGACAAUAAAGAUACAUUCUGUUCUAUUCUAGACGAUGAGGAAGACAGCCCACGAUGCUAGAAUUCAUGGCUCCUGUUCCCUAUUCCUCUCAUCAUCCAUCAUCGUGGCUGACAUGUUUCUCUAACCCAGUGGACAUUUUGAAAAACACCUGUCAGUCCUGCAGUGCAGAAUGGUGCAGGUGAUCAUACAAGGGGGGGGGACCACACAGCAGAGGGCUGGAGAAUUUAAUACAUCACAAGAUGACUUUCAGAAACUCUAUGUCAUAUUUUAAUCCUGCAACUUUUCUGGUGGGUUUACUUCAGGAUUUUAUUCAAUAUGUUUUCUGAAACGUUGCCUGACGCCUCCUCGUUUACUCCUCCUCCUCCUCCUAUGCAUCCAUUGUUGUACUGUUGUAUGGUGUGAAUGACAAUAAAGUUCACUUACUUACUACUUACUUAUGACAGCAAAUAGUACGAAUAGCAUGCGCACGCAGCGACUGGCAGGGAGAGUGAAUGAAAGUGAAUGAAAGCUUGGCGUCCUUUUAUUCUUUGUGUUUUUUCUUGGAGUUAAUUUUCGAGUAAUUUCUGAGUACAGUAAGUAUCCACAAUGGAUAUCGUAGCUCUUUUCACACUUUGGAUAUUCCGUUGUGGACUACUUGCCCCCGAGUUGCUCGAUGGAGCCGGCAGUCACGGCAGGCUACAGUGCACCAGAGCUACACUCCUGCAGAGGAAUUGUGUGGGAGUGGCCGUGAUGGACAUCACGCCGCUACUGCCGGACUUUAUUCUAGAAGACCCUGGUGGAACCGGGGCUAAAACAAGGGCGACUAGGAGGAGGAGGGGUAAACGAGGAGGCGUCAGGCAAAGUUUCCGAAAACAGCGGCUCACACGAAUUGCUUUACCCUCCAUGAUCCUGAGAAAUAAAGUGGACGAGCUUCAGGGAAACGUUCGCUUUAUGAAGGAUUUCAGGAACUGUUGUGUCUCGGCUUUUACAGAGACUCGGCUGAUGGAGCAUGACCAGGAUACGGAUCAGUGUAUUGAUGGAUUUGGUUCACCAUACCGACAAGCAGAGGUAACGUGGAAGUGUCAAGGAGGCGGGGCAUGUGUAUCUGUCAACAAACGAUACUGCACCUCUGUGACUGUAAGAGACCGUAUCUGUACGCCAGAUGUGGAACUUAUAUCAGUAUCAUUACGACCUUUUUACCUGCCCCGCAAGUUUCCACAACAGUUUACAUUCAUCCAAGGGCAAACGUGGUAUCAGCUUACAACACCAUCUCUGACGCUGUGCAGAAACUGCAGUCUCUUUCACCUGAGGUGCCAAACGUCAUAUUGGGGGACUUUAACCAUGUUUGUCUUAAAAGAACACUAGCAAGCUUUUUUAAGCAGUGUGUCAUGUCAUACGAGGCGGGACAAAAUCCUAGACCUCUGUUACGGAUCCAUAAAGGAUGCUUACAAAUCACUGUCACUGCCAACACUUGGUUCAGCCGACGAUAACUGUGUGCAUCUGCUGCCGACAUACCAAACUGUUUUAAAAAGGCAGAAAGCACAAAUCAAGGACACAAAAGAAUGGAUUGAUGAAUCUGUGCUGUAUUUACAAGAGUGCUUUGACUGUAUGGACUGGGAGAUGUUUAAACAGUCCUGUUGUGAUGAUCUGGAUGAGUUGGCUGUUGUGACCAGCUCAUAUAUUGCUUUCUGUAGGAACAUGGUUGUUCCAUGCAAACAAGUGAAAAUUUACCCUAAUAACAAACCAUGGAUAACCAUUAAAGAGACUACAACAUAUGCAAAAUUCCACAGCAAGACUUCUCACCCAUACAAGGCCAUGGCAACAUAUCACUCCCAUCCUCCAUUAGUUACACUGGCUUCCAGUACAAUCUUGGAUUCAAUUCAAAACCCUUCUGUUCAUCUACAAAGCCCAGAACAACCUAGCACCCAUCUACCUCGCGGAUCUUCUCACCUUAUAAAAACCCACCCGCACGUUACGCUCUACUGAUGCACACCUUCUAUCCACCCUCUCUGCUCAUCUCCAUUCCAUGGGUGACAGGGCAUUUAGUGUGGCUGGCCCUAAACUUCGGAACACCCUCCCACCUGCACUACGUACAUGCACUUCACUCUCCAUAUUCAAAUCCAUGCUCAAAGCUCACCUCUUCACUCUGGCCUACUCAGACUUCUCUUGACUUUUUGCGAUUUUCUUUAAUAUUUAUUUUAUGUUGUUUUGGUUGAUGUCAAUCUGGCCCCGGUGUGUCUUUUAAUCAAUGUGUCCUUGUCUCUACAUGCUACCUAUUUGUUGUUUGUAGUCUAACUACUUUUAAUUUAUGUUAUAUUUUGCUUUUAUUGUACAGUGUCCCUGCGAUGGGCUGGCCCCCCAUCCUCGGUUGUUCCCUGCCUCAUGCCCAUUGCUUCCGGGAUAGGCUCCGGACCCCCCCCGACCCAAUAGGAUAAGCGGUUUGGAUAAUGGAUGGAUGGAUGGAUGGAUAUCUUAAAUUUUAAAUGUAGUCCAGUGUAGUUACAUCAUAGCUUUUGCUCUUUUUUUCCAUUUUUAAUGUUGGACACCGUAAAUGACACAUUCUGUUAAUUUAUUUCUGCCUCGUAAAGCUGCAUGUGUGUGAACGAGAGGGAGGACAGCAGGAUGGUGAGGAUACAGGGAGGAGAGGUGGGGAAGGUGGAAGAGUUUAAAUACUCGGGGUCAACAGAAAGAGGUGAGCAAGUGAGUGCAGGCAGGGUGGAGUGGGUGGAGAAGAGAGUCAGGAGUGAUUUGUGACGGACAGGUACCAGCGAGAGUGAAAGAGAAGGACUACAAGAUGGUAGUGAGACCAGCUACGUCAUAUGGGAUGGAGACGGUGUCACUGAUGAAAAGACAGGAGGCAGAGCUGGAGGUGGCAGAGUUAAAGAUGGUAAGAUUUGCAUUGGGUGUGACGAGGAUGGACAGGAUUAGGAACGAGUAUAUUUGAGGGUCAGCUCAGGUUGGACAGUUUGGAGACUAAGCCAGAGAGGCGGGAUUGCAUUGGUUUGGACACGUGCAGAGGAGAGAUGCUGGGUAUAUUGGGAGAAGGAUGCUGAGGAUGGAGCUGCCAGGCAAGAGUAAAAGAGGAAGAGCUUUAUGGAUGUGGUGAGAGAGGACAUGCAGGUGGUUGGUGUGACAGAGGGAGACCUAAGAGGAGCUUUAUGGAUGUGGUGAGAGAGGACAUGCAGGUGGUUGGUGUGACAGAGGGAGACCUAAGAGGAGCUUUAUGGAUGUGGUGAGAGAGGACAUGCAGGUGGUUGGUGUGACAGAGGGAGACCUAAGAGGAGCUUUAUGACAUUUAACGGAAUCAGCCGAAAGAAGGAGAAAAGGGAGAAGAGGCAUCUGACGCACUUCUAACAGAAUUUAGUUUCACGUAAAAACACUUUUCUCGAAUCUUUUAAAAAUCAAUUUAAUAUUUCUGUCUCUGUGUCUCUGCAGUCCGUCCCAAAGCGUCAGUGUUCCAGAAGGAAUCUUCUACAAAGAUUAUGUGUCAUAUUACAGGUAUCUUCUGCAAAAAAGCAGCGAUGAUCAGCUGGAAGAAGGAUGGACCUCAGAGAGAUGUUAUCCAACCAAGAUGGAAGCUUCUAGAGGGGAAGUACUCUGAAAGUCCCAGCUGAGGAGCUGCAGAAACACAGCUACACCUGCAUGAUUCGGCGCAGAAGCUUGGAGAAGGAGUUAGUGCCGUCUGUGAGAGAGCCGAAACCUGAGAGGGCGGAGAAACAUUUUCCUAUAAAACUACAGGAUUCCAGUGAAAGCUGAUUUACUGCUGCAGCAGAUAAUAAAGACUCCGUGCUGAUUUAACAGGUGUAAAACUUGAUGGCUUCAGAGGAGGAAGAAGAAGAAGAAGAACUCUGGUGAGAGGAGGAAGGAUGAUGUGAUGUGAAAUUUCAGAGAACAGAUUUACACUUUCUAAUUCUUGAAAGAGGAUUUGACGGAUAUAAUACAUGUGUUUAAACCUAACUGAUAAAUUGGACAAACACAUUUACAAACUGUCUUGUGAACUUUCAUGCAGUAAACCAAACCCAGUGGACAUAUUUUGAUUCUUCAGAUGAAAAUUGAAUAAAUGUUUAGUUUGGUUAAAGGUUUAACUAUGAAUGUGAUCUGAAUGUUUUACAGCCUCUGAAGGCGAUUCUUCCUCCAACAGCUCUCAUAGUGUGACUGUGCGUCUUCCUGCUGAACUGAGAGAGUAAGACAUGAUGUUGUUUACAGUGAAUAUGGAAUAAAAUCUGUGUGUGGAGUGAAAAUGCAGCAGAAAAGCCUGUGAUAACAUUAAAUCUCAGCCCUGAGCUGAUGCUGUUUCUUUCUGUCUGUUAUUCUAGGAGAGAGGAGGAGAUGGAGAUGAGGAACAUACACACACACAUACACAUACACAUACACACACACACACACACACACACACACACACGUUAUUUCAGAGUAUAAUCUUGGUGUGAGUUUCUUCCUGUGUUUAGAUGGAGGAGUUUUUUAUUGUGAAUCUGUUGUUCUUGCUGUAAAAUGGGAUUAUUAGGGAUUGUUAGUUUUAUUUUUGGUGUAUGUCCUCUUUUGGGGGUGUGUCUGGGCUUCUUUCCUCUGUACAUUUCUAAGAUGAUUUAGUGUAGAAUUGAAUCCAGAUCAUAAGGUCAGUACAUGAUAGGUUUGAUUUCCAUCUUUCACUUUUGAAUCCAGUCAGAUUUUCCUCAGGAGCUGAAAUUUCCUCAAAUCUCUCCCACAAUGCAUCUGUUCUGUCACUCUAACCAUCUGAAGGAAUAAUAAAGUGGAUUUUCUUCA